AGGGCACCACCAGGAGUGGAGCCUGCGGCUUAAUUUGACUCAACGCGGGGAAACUUACCCGGCCCGGACACCGUAAGGAUUGACAGAUUGAGGGCUCUUUCUUGAUUCGGUGGGUGGUGGUGCAUGGCCGUUCUUAGUUGGUGGAGCGAUUUGUCUGGUUAAUUCCGAUAACGAACGAGACUCUAGCCUAUUAAAUAGUCGGUAAAUCCUUUGUUUACUGUACUUCUUAGAGGGACAGAAGGCGUCUAGCCUUACGAGAUUGAGCAAUAACAGGUCUGUGAUGCCCUUAGAUGUUCGGGGCUGCACGCGCGCUACACUGAAGGAUUCAACGUGAUUUUUCACCUGUUCUGGAAAGAAUGGGUAACCCGUUGAAACUCCUUCGUGAUUGGGAUAGGGGCUUGUAAUUAUUCCCCUUGAACGAGGAAUUCCUAGUAAGUGCGGGUCAUCAUCUCGCGUUGAUUACGUCCCUGCCCUUUGUACACACCGCCCGUCGCUACUACCGAUUGGAUGAUUUAGUGA
rnacentral:rRNA from 1 species